ACUCCAGGAGGUGUGGGUAAAAUAAACAACAGAAAAAUCAGAAGCCAGGAAAGUUGAAUUGCUCUGCGUUUUAUUUGAAGGGUGUGGAAGGAAACCCUGGAGGAAGGAAACGACCUCGCUCGGCUGGCCUGGGAAGUAAACACUUGCCUAAAAAUGAUGAACAUAGAGCACGAGGCUUUCUGCAAGCUCCGCCGCUCCAUGCACCCCACCUCGCCA